rnacentral:lncRNA from 1 species
UAAUUUACAUGAUGUCAUAAUUUACUCUCCUGAGAAGCUGUGUGACCUCAGGGCUCCAGUUAGAACCACAGAGAAAUCGGAGUUCCUGAGUGACUCUUCAAACCAAACCUUCAAAGACUCUGAAGGAGCAGAGGGGACACAAUGGAUCAUUAACAGACAGGAUGAGGCAGAGGAAUUUCUUGGUUACUUCUCCUUGGGGAUAUGACCACCGGAAGAAUUGCCAUACUUAACCCAGGCAAGGUGGCACACACCUAUAAUUCCAGAUCAUGAGAAGUAGAAGGAAGAAGAGCACAGAUGUUCAAGGACAUUGCCCCUCUCUCUCCCAAUAAACCUCACGUGGAACUGUUUGGCCUCAUUUGGUCCUUCUGCUGCCAUGUGACGUUCGAGAUCAUAACACUAAUGGUUCUCCAACUACCAGAAAUGUUCUUCCGUGCUCCACCCCAACACCCUGACAGUCCCCAGUAAGCAGCAGCUUUCUGUCAGAGAACAAGACAUUGGCCACUUACUCCUUGUGAUGGUACUGAACAAGCAGAGAAGGCAGAAUCCCCCCCACUAUGGAUUUCUCACUCCUGUGAACAAAUGUCCACCCCCUUCCCAACUGCAAGAGGGAUGUCGGAUUUAAUCCUCAGGCUUGUUCCAUCUUGGUUUCAAGACAGCUGUAGCAACUCCAGCCAUUGCAUCUUUCCCAGCUGGGUCAGAUUUGAUCAUUUAUAGAUUCUGAAACAAUUAGCACAGACUUGGUACUUAGAACAACAGGGACUUAUUCUCCAAGAGGCUGAAGUCAGCGUCACUGAGGUGAAAUAAAGGUGUUGAUGGGGUUCUACACCCACUGAAGGUUCUGCAGAAAGGCUGGGUCCUUGUCUCCCAAUGUUUGAUGGUUCCAGCAUCCUGGAUCUGUAGCUGCAUCUUUCUAAUCACCAUCUGUCUUUCCACUGAGGGUCUAUGAUCUUGUUUAGACCAUGAGUUCUCCUCUUCGUUAGAGACACUAACUUGAGCUUGCUUUAGUGCCUACCUGGGCUCUGUAAGAGACUGUCCCAACUCAAGUCCUCAAAUUUAAUCAUAUCUGCACAGAUCUCUUCCCAACCCCUAGGGCUGUUAUUUACCCGAGUAAGAUGCCAUAUACUAGUAUGUGCACAUCUUCUCAUCUAUAAGUGGGGCGGUGGGCUGUGAGAGGAAUCCUGGUAAGGUGGAGCUAAGGCUUGAAGUCCGGGGGACCCUGAAGGGACGGUAGGAGCUUUGCCUGCUCCCAGAACCAGGCCCCUGUCAGGUAUCUCAAGCGUGGAAUUGAAUUCACUAAGACUGACUUUGAACUCCCAGUCCUCUGAGUGCUGAGAAUAUCGCUGUGUGCCAGCAUGGUGCGCCGGGGAUCAAAUCCAGAGUCUGUACGUGCUAAACAAGCAUCCUUGCCAACGCUGGUGAGCAGCUGCAUCGGGGCUAUUAGAUAAUGCCUGUCUAUAUUGUGAGAGGUUAAACGUUCUAGAAACCAGCUUGCAGCCUCCUCGUGCUCACGCUGCUCUCAGCCUGAGGCAGAGAAGCUCUUCAGUAGAAGGCAGCAGCUAUUGCACAGACUCCUACAUGGUCAGAAUAUGGGGAACAAGAGUGAGCCCUCAGCCUUAAAUGUCUUAAAUCUGUCAUACACACCCAAGGCCCAGGGAACAUUUGCAGAAGGAAGGCAGAAAAACAAAGAAACAAACAAACAAAUAGAAAAACAAGAGCAGGAGGACAGGAAGGGGUGUCAGGAACUGCUUCUGUACAGAUCUAGCAUUGCUGUUGAAACCAUGAGCACACAGCAGCUAUGGAUACCUGCAGAAGACUUGGGCCACAGGAGCUCCCAUCUCUGUUGAAGAACUAAAGGAAAAAUCAAUUCUUGCCACAGAGGCCACAUUUAACAGUGUUGUGGCUCCUGUCUCCAGGGCAUCAAAAGUGCCUCACUGCCCUAAGUCCCAACGAGCCUCAUGGGUCCAGCUCUGCAGAGGUUUCAUGAUGGGAAAGACAGCUUGCAAAGAUCUAAACAACACCCCCCCACACACACACACACCACCCCCAGACAACAAAGCAGCUCAGAGAUGGGAGCUUGUAGGCAGGAAAGGUCUAUAAACAAAUGGAUUGACAUUGGACUCAGAGGAGAAGGUCCCCAAAGCAUAGCAGAAUGAGUCUGGAAACAGAAAUGAGGGAAAGAAGAUUUAAUUCCUUUUUGAGACAAAAUGCCACGUAUCCAGGCUACUCUUAAAUUCCAUCCGUAGCGAAGGAUGACCGUGAACUUCUGAUAUUCCUGCUUCUACCUCCCAGUAUUGGGAUUAGAAGUACAACGUUAGUCCAGUUUAUGGGGUACAGGUUUCAUGCACACUCGUGAAGUUGAGCUACACUACCAGCUAAGAGUGCCCAAUCUUUGUUUCAAAACACACUUAAACCAGUCUAGGUGAUGAGCAAUUCUAAAUCCAAGCCCUUGGGAGUUGUAGAAAGUACAAUGGCUGUAAGUGUGAGGCCAGUCUGAGACCCUGUCUCAAAAACUUCCAAGCAAACAAACAACAACAAAACCAAAGGAAAAGAAAAACAAAACCACACUUCAGACUCCGGCAUGGAGUAAAGCGAGCCAAUCACAGAUGGCAACAACUGCUUUAUUCUCAAUCCUGGUGUGAGAAGAGCUUCAGGAGGGGCCACAGGAGAACUGUCUGCAGGAACAAGCCAUGCCAGAUGCAGCAGGAAGAUGAAGGGUCGUUGAGGCGGACAUAGAUCAAGUGUGUGGGAUACGCCCGCCGCAAGGCUCCUGGAGGUGAGGACUUGCUCCAAUGGAGGGAGCACUCUGGAUAAUCCUCCUGCAGGACUGGUGCCUGAAGAAGUUUAGAUUUAGACAUUAUGUGCAGAAAAAUCACUGGUAUCCUGGGAGUGCUCAGUUGGCUCACUAGACUCAAGCAACGGGUGUUCCUUUGCGCUCACUUGCCAUUGCCUAAAAUAUCCUUGAGCCAGAAGUGGUGACUUCAAGCCUGUGCAGCUUUAUGCAAUUUGGUGUCAAAGGCUUUGGCUUCAACACCUGAUGGCUCUCUCAGAGGCUAGGCGUUAAAAGUCCCAGAGAGAGCAGGAGCCUACCUGACAAGGAAAAACAUCUGCAGCUCUCAGAAUGAGAUACCUCGCGCUGGGCAAAGGCAGAAUCCAGACUUAUGCUAUAUGACAUGAAAGUUGAAGGGCGACCAAUGUCAGGGGAGAAAUGGCACCCAGCCGUGGUGAGGAAGAGAGAAUAUUGGGGCAGGACCCACUACACGUCAGGCGUGUUGCCAAGUGUUGGAGAGGAUAUACAGUUGAAGAAAUUCCCUUUCCAGGCUGAGGCUGCCGAAGCCCAUAAAGAAGGUCAACUAAUGAUGGCACCGCAUGUCAAAAAGAACAUAGGAAAUGAUGCUACCAUGGAUUACACUGUAACACAGAAAGCUAAAACCCACGUUCUUAGAGUGAAGACUUUGAACCUAUGUGCAUUAAACCUUACGAAUUGCAUGGAAGAAAUCAAUUCAGAUGAGCCUUGAAGGAGGGCCAAGGAGAGAGCAGAGAAAAUGUGUGCCGUGGGAAAGCUGAGCGCCGCUUUUCUUUCUCUUGGGAAUAGCAUUCUGAAAGGUGAAGUGUACACACAACAGGAGCACAGCGAAGGAUUCAGCUCCACGGCCGUCAGGAUGCCAACAGUGGCAGCUGCUGUAGCUUUAAAAAGGACUUUCCCAGAAGGCAAGAAAGAUACCUGACUGAGUGGGCCAUUGGUAAGGAUGCAGCUUUAGAAGAACCAGCCUAAAACAGAGCCUGAUACACAGGGACUUAAUGGAAGUAAUAAAAGGCCUACAAGGAACUGGCAGAAGCAGGGAACUGUAUGAUGCCACCAGGGAGGUC